rnacentral:rRNA from 1 species
UACGUAGUGGGCAAGCGUUGUCCGGAUUUAUUGGGCGUAAAGAGCGUGUAGGCGGUUUGGUAGGUCCGCUGUGAAAACUCGAGGCUCAACCUCGAGACGCCGGUGGAAACCAUCAGGCUAGAGUCCGGAAGAGGAGAGUGGAAUUCCUGGUGUAGCGGUGAAAUGCGCAGAUAUCAGGAAGAACACCCGUGGCUAAGGCGGCUCUCUAGUACGGUACUGACGCUGAGACGCGAAAGCGUGGGGAGCGAACAGG